GUUCUCUGCUCUCAUCAUCAUGAAGCGCAUGAACUUGUGGCACAGGAUCUUCUCAAUCUCAUCAGCCUGAUGGAGCCAAUCAGAGCACCAUGUAUGAGAAAGACUCUACUUAACACACAACAUCAAGAUAAUGGGAAGGUGUCAUUGAAAGCGAGAAGGAGGGUCAUAACCCCUGACCUGCUUCACAGCAAUGCUGACUCGCACAGAGUUGAUGGAGCCCUCGAUUAGGACCUUCUCCUUGUCAUUGCGGCUGAUUACCACAGGCUGAAGUAAGAGCUCUUUACUACUCCUGUAAUGACAAAAGACAGUGUGUCACAAAUAACACGAAUGAUAUCAUUAUUAGAAGAGCACGAGAGAGCUCACUCACCUGACCUCCACCUCUGGCUUGUUGUGGCGCUCCACCACCUGAGAGGAGAAGUUCUCCAGGCAGAGGGCAGCCUGCAGUGUGGCACGCACAGCAUUCAGGUAUGGGCGUAGUGUCGCUGUCUGAGGGAGGGGGUGACGACAUUAACUUUGAAACACUUCUAUUACAGAUCAAUGAUUACAACAAUCUUCCAGAAAACCCCCGUUCUCAGGACACACAACUGAGGCUUUACCUUUACGUCUCAGACAGACUGCUGUCCAGACCUCUAGAGAGGAAGUACCAUGUUACUACAAGCAUAUUUAGCCUCCUUGUUCUUUUGCAUAGUAUUGAACAAUCAAUGAAUGUUGUGGUGGUGUCAGCGCGUUCUAGGUGUAAUAUAAUCAAAGGGAUCGGAUCAGACAAAUAUACAAGUCCAACUGGUUUGAUAACAGCUUUGAUCCAGAUUUUUUUUAGAGCGCACAGUCCCGCCCACAUUAAUCUGCAACUAUCAAACCACCAGAAUAAAGAUACUGUUUUAACCUAGGAAUUUGAAAACAGAGAUUUGCAUCGGUAUUUAUGACUAAAGUCACUCACCAUUUCUCAGUUGUUCUGGGUUUGAAGGCGGAAGUUAUAGUGCCACGCCUGCAUCCAACAUCUCUUCCGCAAAUUUUACACUUCUCAUAUCACAACGAACAGAGCCAGAGAAGAAGAGGCAAAGCGAGAGGGUCGACUCCGCCCAAAAUCUGUCUGCGCAGAUUAAGCAGACCAACAGUGGAGAGCAGGCGCAGCAAUGGAUCCCCCACAGAGGAGGGCUGUGCCCAAGCAGAGGAGAGAAGGCACGACAUCAAACAGUUCCCCAACUGAGGCAGGCAAGUCCCCCAGUGCAGGAACCAGAGGAGGGCCCAGGUCAUACCCCGGAGCAGGCCUCGGCGGUAGAUCCAGAGCCAAGCCAGAUCAGGAGGCAGUGUUGUUGAGUCCAGGGCAGAUGGUGGACCAGCUCUGACCCCAGGUGCAGAAAUAGGUAGUGCCCCUGGGACAGGUCACUGGGGGGCAAGGUCUGGGUGGUCACCCCAGAUGAAGUCUGGCGUAUCCCCCACAGUCACGUCGGGGGUUGUGUCCUGUGUACGCUGGUCAGGGUCAUCCUGGAUACCCCGAACAGGACCCAGGGCUGUUGCUGUGUCCUGUGACGGGCCCAUGUCAAGUCUAAACCGGU